rnacentral:tRNA from 1 species
GCCGUGGUGGCGGAAUUGGUAGACGCGUUGGACUUAAAAUCCAAUUGGCAUCAAAAUGCCAGUGCCGGUUCGAGCCCGGCCCACGGUA